GAAAACAAUACUUUUCAAUUAGUAAAUUUGGUAUUAUUAAUUAAUUUUAUUUUUACAUUUUUUAUCCUUAUUUUAAUUGAUCUAAGUAUAGAAUUUUAAUUUAUUAACCUGGGUUAAUGGUAGUUGAUAGAGCUGCAGCUUUUUUAGAGAAAUAUCAAUGUUUCCCAAAUGUGCUAUUAGUAAGAUUUUUUUUUUCAUUUGUGAUUUCAUAUAUUUAUUGGAUAAAAUGUAAUAGUGUUUCAAAAUCACAAAUCCUUUUUUAAGUGAGAAGGUAUUUUCAAAACUGCCAUGUUUUCUAAUAGGUUAUUCUAUAAGUUUUCUCUGCUUUAUAAAGUUGUAUGCUUUUUUUAUUAUGACUAUUUAAUUUAGAUUGUUGGCGACAUAGCUCAUGUAUUAUAGUCUUCUGUCACAGUUGACUCAGCAAGAAUGAAGACAUUGAUACACUUUUGCAUUAUGGAAUACACAAGUUAGCAGUUCCUUGCCCACUGCCACCCAAAUACAAGUAAGUAUGUAUGCAUACACAACCCUCAAAAUUAGUAAAACUAAAGUGAGUAAUAAAUUUUCGACCUUAAACUGUUUUAGGUUGGCAUCAGAUUACAAUCGGCAAACAUAAAGUCAUUUUUACAAAGGUUUUACUAUAAAAGAUAAAAACGAGGUCAGCAAAAAAUUGCUAACCUCAGGCAUUUUUAUGUUUUUGCUUGGUUAGGGUUAGAGUUAGGUACAAUAAUGUAUUGAAAUCAAUUAAUAGUAUAAUAAGGAAUGUGUUUUUAGAUACUAAAGUUAAACACUUAAUAAAAAACUUGCUGCAAUUACUUUCAAAAGACUAAAACUGGACAUAUUGUUUUAGAAAAAGCUCUCUCUCAACAUUACGAUAAAAAUAAUUUUGGCUUGUAUCGUGACGACAGGCUUGCUAUUUUUGAAAACAAAAGCGGCCAGCAAAUGGAAAAAAUCAAAAAGCAUUUUACACAUAUUUUUAAAAGUAACAACCUACUUAUCUCCAUCCAAUGUAAUAUUAAAAUUGUCAAUUUUCUUGAUGUAACAUUGAACCUGAUUGACAGUUCUUAUCAACCGUAUUGUAAACCUAAUAACCAACUUAUGUAUGUUCAUUCAGAGUCAAACCAUCCACCUAAUAUAAUAAAAGAAAUCCCUCGCACUAUUGAGUUAAGAUUAUUGAAUAUGGCAGUAAAUGAAAUUGUGUUCAAUAACUCAAUUAUUCCGUAUGAAGAGGCUUUACGUAAAUCAGGAUACAAUUCAAAACUCACCUACCAACUGCAAAUAAACAAAAAUCAAAAAAGACAUCGCAUACGUAAAAUUAUAUGGUACAACCCCCCGUUUAGCAAAAAUGUUGAAACUAAAAUUGGAAAUCGCUUUUUAGCUUUAAUUGACCAACACUUUCCAGUAGGACACAGGCUUCAUAAAAUUUUUAAUCGAAACUAUGUUAAAGUAAGCUAUAGUUGCAUGCCUAAUGUCAAGUCUUUAAUAAAUACACAUAAUAACAAAAUUUUACAUAGCGAUAAAAAUAAAACAUCAAAAAAAUGUAACUGCAUAGACAAAAAUAUUUGUCCGUUAAAUAACCAAUGCCUUUUUAGCAAUAUCGUAUACCAAGCCACUGUAAGUUCUGGUGAUCCUCAAUGCAAAGAUAAAGUUUAUUUCGGUAUAAGUGAAACCACAUUUAAAUUAAGAUAUGCCAACCAUCUUAAAUCUUUCAAUGCACCCAAAUAUAAAAAUGACACUGAACUUUCCAAAGAAUUAUGGGAGCUAAAAUCGAAACAUAUAAAUCCUGUGAUUACAUGGAAGAUAAUAGCACAAUGUAAGCCCUACAAUCAAGCAUCAAAAGUUUGUAAUCUUUGUCUUCGCGAGAAGUUUCACAUAUUAUCAUAUAAAGGAGAAAACUUACUUAAUAAAAGAUAUGAAAUAAUAUCAAAGUGCCGGCAUUCAAAAAAAUUUUUACUAUCCUUAUUUGAUACCGGGGACUAAAACCUUUGACGUCUUUUUGUUUUGUUUUGUUUGGUCAGAACUCGUUCCACCAUUUAAAAAAUUGUUAUCUCUACGUAACAGACGACAUACAAAAAGGCUUUCAGCUCAUUUAAAAAUCACUAAAAGGGAGAACCAUUGGUACUAUGGAGACGAAGUGAUUAUUAUGUGUGAUUAUUUUAUGAAGUUUUUCAUUUUCUGACUUCGUGAUGGGACUUAUUGGAAUACACUUGUCAUGGAUAUGGGAGAAGUAUUGCCACUACAAGCAUGAACAAUAAUAAAACAUUCCAAAGAACAAUUUUUUAUUUCAACGAUUAGAUUUGUUGUUUAAAUGUAUAAAUGCUUUUUGAAUAUUUUUAUUAUAUAUCAU